rnacentral:misc_RNA from 1 species
CGCACAUUGCGCCCUUGGGUAUUCCUAGGGGCAUGCCUGUUCGAGCGUCAUUACAAACCAUCAAGCUUCGGCUUGGCCUUGGGCGGCACGUCCUUCUACCGGACGCCCCCAAAAGUCUUCGGCGACGGCAUCGAGCCACAAGCGUACAAGCAUUUUCUCGCUAUGUAGGCUCUGAAGUCGUCCGCUUCGAAAUCUCAACACCUAAAGGUUGACCUCGGAUCAGGCAAGGAUACCCGCUGAACUUAA